CCUACGGGAUGCAGCAGUGGGGAAUAUUGGACAAUGGGGGCAACCCUGAUCCAGCCAUGCCGCGUGUGUGAAGAAGGCCCUCGGGUUGUAAAGCACUUUCAGUGAGGAAGAACGCCUGGUGGUUAAUACCCAUCAGGAAAGACAUCACUCACAGAAGAAGCACCGGCUAACUCCGUGCCAGCAGCCGCGGUAAUACGGAGGGUGCGAGCGUUAAUCGGAAUUACUGGGCGUAAAGCGCGCGUAGGUGGCUUGAUAAGCCGGUUGUGAAAGCCCCGGGCUCAACCUGGGAACGGCAUCCGGAACUGUCAAGCUAGAGUGCAGGAGAGGAAGGUAGAAUUCCCGGUGUAGCGGUGAAAUGCGUAGAGAUCGGGAGGAAUACCAGUGGCGAAGGCGGCCUUCUGGACUGACACUGACACUGAGGUGCGAAAGCGUGGGUAGCAAACAGGAUUAGAUACCCGAGUAGUC
rnacentral:rRNA from 1 species